rnacentral:lncRNA from 1 species
CACAGAUAAUCAGCUUUGAUAUAGGAUCUAAAUGGGCUUUUUCUAUUGAGUAGAGGCUGAGAUGUUAAGAGUGGGAAUUUAUUUUGGGAUACUGUAUAUAAGGGAUCUCCAACUUACAAGAAUUUGUAGUCAUAAUGGCAAUAAUCUAUAAUAAACAAAUUUAUAAUGCAUAAUAAUAAUGUAAAUAAAAUUCAUACUUAUAAUACUUGCACCGAAUGGCCGCACAAUAAACUGAUUUACUUAAAACCUGGAGGAUUCAGGUUUGAUUCUGAAUCUUACACUUGUAAAUUCUUGUUGACCAAUCCAUUAGGAAUCUGUUCAGAAUUUCACCCUUCUGACAGUCAAUCUCACCUUAAGUGUUUACUAUCUAUUAUGGAAGUCAACUAGAUGGCUUCAUAAUAGAGUUUGCUUUCCAACUGGAGGAGCUAUAUUCAAAUCUAGAUUCCUAUAAUUCUAGGUUUUUUUUUCAGAAAGAAUUCAGGUCUGGCUCAUUAAACUCUUCUCCACCUGAUGGUUGAUUCCAUCAUAGGUGUGGGUAACCCAUGAUGAGUGUUGGAAUAGUCUCGUUGCUUAAUAAGUUCUGGUUAUAAAUUGACUUAAAAUGAGAAAAAGAGAAAAUAAUUGUAGGAAUACUAAUAUAUAAUUGUUUUUUAAUUAGCUGUUUCAAUUUAAGAAUUUUUCCUAAAAUAAAAUCUGAUGAAAUUGCAUGUUAUAAAUAAAUUCACUAUAAGAAAAUCACUUACA